rnacentral:rRNA from 1 species
AUUGAACGCUGGCGGCAUGCCUUACACAUGCAAGUCGAACGGCAGCACGGGAGCAAUCCUGGUGGCGAGUGGCGAACGGGUGAGUAAAGUAUCGGAACGUGCCCAGUCGUGGGGGAUAACGUAGCGAAAGUUACGCUAAUACCGCAUACGAUCUAUGGAUGAAAGCGGGGGAUCGCAAGACCUCGCGCGAUUGGAGCGGCCGAUAGCAGAUGAGGUAGUUGGUGGGGUAAAGGCCCACCAAGCCGACGAUCUGUAGCUGGUCUGAGAGGACGACCAGCCACACUGGGACUGAGACACGGCCCAGACUCCUACGGGAGGCAGCAGUGGGGAAUUUUGGACAAUGGGCGAAAGCCUGAUCCAGCCAUGCCGCGUGCAGGAUGAAGGCCUUCGGGUUGUAAACUGCUUUUGUACGGAACGAAAAGGACUGCCCUAAUACGGUGGUCCCAUGACGGUACCGUAAGAAUAAGCACCGGCUAACUACGUGCCAGCAGCCGCGGUAA